AGCACUGGGCCUUUUGUUAUUGUUUCUGCUUGUGUGUGUGUUUGAGACAGAGAGAGAGAGAGGCUCCUUCCUUAAUUGUCUCUCACAUGUCUUGUUUAUCUUCAUAAUUAUCAUAUAGAAAAAAUCUCCUGAAGGAAAGCAUAAAAGUGAACCCCCCAUCUCUUUCUCUCUCUCUCUCUCUCUCUCUCUCUCUCUCUCUGUGCUGCCUUAGAUUUGCUGAGAUCUUGAGUCGCUUUCCUGUGUCUGACUCCCAUAUGGUCAUGGGGACAAUGACCCUUAAUUUCCCUCUGCAAAAGAAACUCUCUCUCUCUGCCCAACUCCUUUUUCUUCUUUACCUGCCACAAGAAUAUGGAUUAGGGUUUUGAACAGCUCCUCUAAUUACUUAGAUUUUAGGGUUAUGUGUAUUUAAUGGUCUCUUUCAUUUAUAUAUGUAGACAAUGUUUGGAUCCUAUAAUCUGCAGAUGUGUACUGCUUGGAAGUUUCAUAACAAAUGUUGCUUCAUUGAUUUGAGCGCUAGAGUGAGAAAGUGGUGUCCAGUACAAAGUGCAGUUGCAUGUUGGUGGGUUUUUAAUUACUUGAGCUUAAUUUAUUGGCUUCUAUAUGAAUGUCAGAAAACAACUCAAGUAGUCUCAGCAGGAAUAUUGAUUAAUUUGCAUGGUGGGAUUUGCUUUAUUGGUAAUGCAUGUCAGAAAAGAAACUGGUGAUGAGAGAAUUGAAGAAAUGGGGAGAGAGAGCUUUCUUCAGUCCACUCAUGGAUAAGAUUUUAAGGGUUGUUGAAGUAGCUGCCGACUCAUUCACUCAAGCACUCAGUAGAGAAAUUCGAAAGGAGUGAGAAAAAAAAAACCAUCAAACAAUUUGCUACUGUGAUUGUGUGAAUGAAGCGGGAGAUAUUUUACAUCCCUCUUUCUCUGCGCUUGGACUGAAGGGAGCUCCUCCUUUCCAUUGCCUCCACUUUUUUCCGUACUCUAGGAACACAUACUACACAAACACUUCGAGUUAAUAGUCAUUGUCGUCGUCAUUACGAUCAUCUUGUGUUUAUAGUAGUUUGUUACUCUUUACUAAUUAACGGGACAUCCUUAAUGGCGUCGAAGACCUAUUGGGAAAUUGAUUUUUUCUUGCAGGGUUAAGAGUUAUCUUGGCAUUGGACAAUUGAUUAAUUAGGUCAAGUCUUGUUAAAAUGUGUGUUUAGAUGUACAAUCUGCCAGCAUAAUUUAACUUGUUAUUAGAUACAUUACAUACACAGCAAGCAUUUGAUAAAUCAGUUUGGUACUGCUACUGCAUAAUAUAUAUGAAGAAGAGGGGCCUACCAAGACCUACCAUCAAGUUAUAUCUGUUGCCCGCUGGGUUAUUGAGAGAGAGAUGACAGGCUCUCCCUUGUCCUCUAUUUGUUUUGUUUCACCCUUCAUAUAUAUUCUCCUCUUUUUUCCCCCGACAAGUAAACUUGGUCAGCUGUUUUUCCCCCGAUUUACUUUAUUCCCUUCUUUCUAAAGAGUGUCAGCCAGCGACUUUUCUCCCUUUUUUCCCUCAAUUUUUUCACUCUAAGAAAAACAAGCAUCUGUCAUUUUUGUAGGCAUUGCAUGCUUAAAAAAGACCACUAGUUUUUGUAUAAUUUUGCACAUACAUGAUCCCUUGUGAAAGUCCAAAUGUACAUGUCAGUAUAUAACAUGCAGCAGCAAACACCAUGCACAGACCACCACCCCCACCACCACUGCAGUGAUUUGUGGAAGGCAACCUAACAUUAUAUUUCUCUGAAAAUUAAAGUUCCAACAAAGUUAACCGUGUUUUCUUCAACUAUUGGCUCGUGCGGCUGCGUUUGCGCAGGUAAAAAAGUAUGCUUUCUUAAUUGGUAUUGUUUAUACAUAUAUAUUUAUCUAUGUGAAGGCUGAAGGCUGAAGGCCUCGGUUCUCAUUCUUGCAUGUGUUCAUCGAAAGCUGUACCCUUUUUCUGGCAUUUUUCAUUUCAUUUGGAGCUGUGCCUGCCAGCCAUUCAGUCUUCUAUGCUGCUGUCUUUUAUUUAUAUUUAUUUUUUUAAUUACCAGAGAAAGGGUUUUCUCUCUUAAAAUGACUUUAAAAAGUACAAAAGUGUGGAACAAAUAAGGAAAUUAAAGCCAGGAUUAUAUUAUAUAUAUGAUUAAAGCUUUUUCUUGGAGGUGGGUUUCUGUUUUUAAGUCUUUUUUGUUGGAAAUGGGCGGUGAGUGGUGUAAAAAUCUGAUAAUGUUGAUAAUGUGAUCACUGUAGAUUGCCAUAUUUGGGAAGAUUGGGGCAAAUGGGCUAACUUCCUCUUUUGGAAAUCAGCAUUUGUUUAAUGCAGAGAUGAAUGGAACUUUGGGAGUUUCACGUUGGUCAUGUAAAUUUCUUGCAGGCAAGGCAUGCACUGUGGCCCCCUUUUUCUUUUUCUUCUUCUCAGGACUUACAAACUCCAAUGGGUGAAUGAAGCAGCUUGGCUAAAGUUCAAGUUUAUUCUUUUAUACGGAUCUUUUUCUGUUUUUUCUUUCCUUUGUUUUUUGGAAUGAAUGGCAAAGUGUGCUCUUGUCUUGUGGUUAUAAGGCAUUAGUUUGGUUUCAUUUAAACAAAAGAAUAAGGGGCAUAUUAGCAUUCGUGAGCUUAGUCAAGUUGGCUAGCACCCGGAUAUAAGGCAUUAUUAAAUAAGAAUGGACUAUUUAUA